UAAGGAAUAUUGCGCAAUGGGCGAAAGCCUGACGCAGCGACGCCGCGUGGGGGAUGAAGGUCUUCGGAUUGUAAACCCCUUUCGGGAGGGAAGAUGGGAUGGGGUAACCCAUUCGGACGGUACCUCCAGAAGCAGCCACGGCUAACUUCGUGCCAGCAGCCGCGGUAAUACGAAGGUGGCAAGCGUUGUUCGGAUUUACUGGGCGUACAGGGAGCGUAGGCGGUUGGGUAAGCCCUCCGUGAAAUCUCCAGGCUUAACCUGGAAAGUGCAGAGGGGACUGCUCAGCUAGAGGAUGGGAGAGGAGCGCGGAAUUCCCGGUGUAGCGGUGAAAUGCGUAGAGAUCGGGAGGAAGGCCGGUGGCGAAGGCGGCGCUCUGGAACAUUUCUGACGCUGAGGCUCGAAAGCGUGGGGAGCAAACAGG
rnacentral:rRNA from 1 species